UCCUACCGGAGGCAGCAGUGGGGAAUUUUGGACAAGGGGGGAAAGCCUGAUCCAGCCCAUGCCGCGCGGGUGAAGAAGGCAUUGGGGUGUAAAGCAAUUUUGUCUGGAAAGAAGUCAAGAUCUUUAAUACGGGGGGGGGAUGACGGUACCGGAAGAAUAAGCAUGCUACUACU
rnacentral:rRNA from 1 species